ACUGCUAAUACCGCNUAAUGUCUACGGACCAAAGGGGGCUUCGGCUCNCGCCUUUAGAUUNGCCCNAGUGGGAUUAGCUAGUUGGUGAGGUAAUGGCUCACNAANGCNACGAUCCCUAGCUGGUUUGAGAGGAUGAUCAGCCACNCUGGGACUGAGACNCGGCCCAGACUCCUACGGGAGGCAGCAGUGGGGAAUAUUGCACAAUGGGCGCAAGCCUGAUGCAGCCAUGCCGCGUGUGUGAAGAAGGCCUUCGGGUUGUAAAGCACUUUCAGUCAGGAGGAAAGGUUANUANUUNAUACCUGCUAGCUGUGACGUUACUGACAGAAGAAGCACCGGCUAACUCCGUGCCAGCAGCCGCGGUAAUACGGAGGGUGCGAGCGUUAAUCGGAAUUACUGGGCGUAAAGCGUACGCAGGCGGUUUGUUAAGCGAGAUGUGAAAGCCCCGGGCUCAACCUGGGAACUGCAUUUCGAACUGGCAAACUAGAGUGUGAUAGAGGGUGGUAGAAUUUCAGGUGUAGCGGUGAAAUGCGUAGAGAUCUGAAGGAAUACCGAUGGCGAANGCAGNCACCUGGGUCAACACUGACGCUCAUGUACGAAAGCGUGNNGAGCANACANGA
rnacentral:rRNA from 1 species